rnacentral:rRNA from 1 species
CGUGUAGGCGGGAAAGUAAAGUCAGAAGUGAAAUCCCACGGCUUAACUGUGGAGCUGCUUCUGAAACUUCUUUUCUUGAGUGCUGGAGAGGAAAGUGGAAUUCCAAGUGUAGCGGUGAAAUGCGUAGAGAUUUGGAGGAACACCUAGUGGCGAAGGCGGCUUUCUGGACAGUAACUGACGCUGAGGCGCGAAAGCGUGGGGAGCAAACAGGACUUAGAUACCCUGGUAGUCCACGCUGUAAACGAUGGAUACUAGGUGUAGGAGGUAUCGACCCCUUCUGUGCCGGAGUUAACACAAUAAGUAUCCCACCUGGGGGAUACGGCCGCAAGGUUGAA